GAUGAACGCUGGCGGCGUGCCUAAUACAUGCAAGUCGAGCGAACGGACGAGAAGCUUGCUUCUCUGAUGUUAGCGGCGGACGGGUGAGUAACACGUGGAUAACCUACCUAUAAGACUGGGAUAACUUCGGGAAACCGUAGCUAAUACCGGAUAAUAUUUUGAACCGCAUGGUGCAAAAGUGAAAGACGGUCUUGCUGUCACUUAUAGAUGGAUCCGCGCUGCAUUAGCUAGUUGGUAAGGUAACGGCUUACCAAGGCAACGAUGCAUAGCCGACCUGAGAGGGUGAUAGGCCACACUGGAACUGAGACACGGUCCAGACUCCUACGGGAGGCAGCAGUAGGGAAUCUUCCGCAGUGGGCGAAAGCCUGACGGAGCAACGCCGCGUGAGUGAUGAAGGUCUUCGGAUCGUAAAACUCUGUUAUUAGGGAAGAACAUAUGUGUAAGUAACUGUGCACAUCUUGACGGUACCUAAUCAGAAAGCCACGGCUAACUACGUG
rnacentral:rRNA from 1 species